GACGAACGCUGGCGGCGUGCCUAAUACAUGCAAGUCGAACGAGAGCAACCGGUGCUUGCACUGGUCAAUCUAGUGGCGAACGGGUGAGCAACACGUGGGUAACCUGCCCAUCAGAGGGGGAUAACAUCCGGAAACGGAUGCUAAAACCGCAUAGGUCUUCGAACCGCAUGGUUUGAAGAGGAAAAGAGGCGCAAGCUUCUGCUGAUGGAUGGACCCGCGGUGCAUUAGCUAGUUGGUGAGGUAACGGCUCACCAAGGCCGUGAUGCAUAGCCGACCUGAGAGGGUGAUCGGCCACAUUGGGACUGAGACACGGCCCAAACUCCUACGGGAGGCAGCAGUAGGGAAUCUUCCGCAAUGGACGCAAGUCUGACGGAGCAACGCCGCGUGAGUGAAGAAGGUGUUCGGAUCGUAAAACUCUGUUGUUAGAGAAGAACAAGUGCUAGAGUAACUGUUAGCGCCUUGACGGUAUCUAACCAGAAAGCCACGGCUAACUACGUG
rnacentral:rRNA from 1 species